rnacentral:lncRNA from 1 species
AAAAAUUUAAAAAAAAAAAAAAAACACAUAAUAACAGCCACAAGCUGGGGGGGAAAAAAUAUGGCUCCAAUCACUACUCUCUUCUUCCUUCUCUCUUCCUUGUGUUUUCUCACAUCAAGCCCUUGGGUUUUGACUUUACACAUUUUUGCUUCUGAUGACUCUCUCAUGUUCUCACCUUUGGGAUUCAGUUUUGCAAACCCAGAUGUUGCAUUUAUCUGAAACGUAACUUGUGAGAGAGAGAGUACACGAGCUUUGACAUUAACAAAAAAAAAGACAAAAGGGUGGUUCCAUGAUUCUCCUCAAAGGCAGGAAGCAAGCUACAAGGUUCCUUUUUUAGAGUGUUUGUUUCAAUUUAAGCAAGCUGGUUUUACUACUAAUUAUCUGUAUCUAUUAUCUAAUUAGUCCUGAAUGUAACCAUAUGCUCUAGUAAUACAAUGGAUUAGGCCUAUCUUCUCCUUCAAAUAGAAGGAAACUUUAGUGGUUGCGAUAUCUGCAUCCUUAGCUUGGGUCAUGGGCCUGGGCGUGCAUACUUUUUGCCUUUGAAUCCAUUUUAAAAAGCCUCUCAAUUGACGUUACAUAAAAUGUGGACUCAUCAAGACAAAGCCUAGUUAGUAGGCAUGCAUUUUUGGCAAUUAUUUACAUUAUUUUAGCAGAUUCUCUUCUAAUGAACUUUUUUUUAACAGAAUAAACCAUUAAAUUUUGACCAUGCGAUGUUAUCAUUCAUAGAAGCUUGACACAGAGAGAACAAAUUGAAGUUCCUCAGGGCUCAGACGUUCUGGGUGUGCGAGAAAGAAUAAUAGAAUGAUGUUUUCACAUGAAAGUUUUUGGUUCAAGGUUGGAGUUCAUGAAGGAAAAGAUUUGAGUAACAAAUGUGUAUGAAUUGAAGUGUGUAAUUUCUUUAAUUUUUCAGCUUUGGCUUAACGAAAGAAAGAAUGGUCAAUGGUCUAAUAGAAUUUCCAGGAAUGAAGGGUGGAUUGUGGGGCGAGUUUUAACGGCCCUCAAGGUUAAGGUCAGGUCCACGAUCAGAGGGACCAUUUUGUGAAAAUUUUAUAUGUUGCCUUUCCUGGUCCAAUCUGGACCACUUUUUCAAAAUCUGCUCUACGAUCAUAGGAGAAAGAAAUAUGUUCCAUCUGCCGAGAGAGCUCAACAUUCAUUCACUAU